rnacentral:rRNA from 1 species
GACGAACGCUGGCGGCGUGCCUAAUACAUGCAAGUAGAACGCUGAAGGAGGAGCUUGCUCUUCUGGAUGAGUUGCGAACGGGUGAGUAACGCGUAGGUAACCUGCCUGGUAGCGGGGGAUAACUAUUGGAAACGAUAGCUAAUACCGCAUAAGAGUAGAUGUUGCAUGACAUUUACUUAAAAGGUGCAAUUGCAUCACUACCAGAUGGAACUGCGUUGUAUUAGCUAGUUGGUGGGGUAACGGCUUACCAAGGGGACGAUACAUAGCCGACCUGGGAGGGGGAUCGGCCACACUGGGACUGAGACACGGCCCAGACUCCUACGGGAGGCAGCAGUAGGGAAUCUUCGGCAAUGGACGGAAGUCUGACCGAGCAACGCCGCGUGAGUGAAGAAGGUUUUCGGAUCGUAAAGCUCUGUUGUAAGAGAAGAACGAUUGUGAGAGUGGAAAGUUCACACUGUGACGGUAUCUUACCAGAAAGGGACGGCUAACUACGUG